GUCUUAAUUGGAAGCGGGUCUCGUGGAAAUUUAACUCCAAACUGAGCUGGCUGCCGAGACGCGACCCACCCGGGUUUGUGCAAAACGAGGCGUGCAAACGCUGGGGAUCCUGCCCCUCGGGCUUCAGGCGUGGGCGCCGGUUCCUCCCCACAACCACCGCAGCCCAACCACGUGCGUCCUGCUUGUCUUCUUGCUUCCCACCCUUCAUAAACGCGCCCAGGCUCGAAAUUUGCGCCGCACCGACAGCCGCCGCCCAGGAAUAGCUCCGUUGCUUCUGCGCUGCCGGAUUGCGAAGACUACCGAGGCUCGCUAGCGCCUCUCGGGUUAGCUCUCUUUUCCCCCUCCUCCUCCUCCUCCCUCGGCUGGGGAGAGGCUGGAUGGCAGCAGCGCUUGCCGGGCGCGCACGUAGGAAGCGCCCGUCUAAAUCUUGGAAGGCGGCGGCACAGACAGGAGCUGCAGCUGCUCGGAAUCCAGUUUCCUGCCUGGCCUGGCUUGGCUUGGCUUGGCCAGGGUGGGAGGAGGAGCGUUUCCCAGCACAAGGCAGAGGGGAGCAAUGUGGGGAUGACACUGCGAGGAAGCAGCACCUACUUCAUUCUUCGCCUGUCAUCCUAAGAACUUCAUCCAAUCCAGAUGCUCCUCUGCAGUGGAAUUUGGCCCUGAAGAGACCUCCCUGAUCUCCCUAUCAUGCAGGAAAAAAGAGGAGAAGCAGAACAUUGUGAAUAAAAACAAGCAAUGCCAUGCCAUUUAUUAAAGCCAACUAAAAUACUGGCUUUUGGGAUUACACGGCAUUUGCUCUGGGAUUUUGCUAUGGACCAAGCAGCUACAUCUAUUUGGAUUACCAGUGGCUGCAGUUCUGCAAGUAUACAGGUUGCCUGGGGAAAGUGAAAGUUCUCUUUGUGUGCCAUGAGUAGUGGCCAAGAUUAGAAACUUGUAUUCACAGCGUUAACUACUGCUAGCUAUAAGCUUCAUCUCAUUCCAGGGCUUGUUCGAACACUGAUGAGUAGGCACGGGAGAUUUCAUGAUUGAUUUUAUUACAUUAAUUGCAUUUUCUUUGUACUCUUUCCAGAGAUGUUGCCAAUGGCCUGUUGCCCAAUAAGAUAGGGAGGCAAAGAGAGGUAGCAUGCCCUCCUGUGGCAAGAGCCAUUCUUGAUGCGCCUCACUCAUCACUCAUACAACAUGAGCUUCUGCAACAACCAGACAAUGUCCUUGUGGGCUUUGGUUAUUUCAGUUUAACUACAGAUUUUAGAAGUUCUGUUCCAUCACUGAGGUUCAGAACUCCCAUUUGAGAGCCAGUGUGGUGUAGUGUAGCGCUUCAGACUGCCGGAUUAGGAUUUGGGAGGCCCAGAUUCAGAUCCCCACUCUGCCGUGGAAGCUUGCUGGGUGACCUUGGGCCAGUCAUACACACAUCGUAACCUACCUCACCAGGUUGUUUUGAAGAUAAAACUGAGGAGAGGAGAGCAAUGCAAGCAAUGUUCUAGGUCCUCGCUGGGGAAAAAAGCAGAGUAUACAUUCAUCAUACACAAAAAGAAAUACAAUAGGAGACCACUGAAAAUUAACUACUAUGUAUAUAUGACAUUGGAGUUGCAUAGUAAAAUGGGUUGGUUCAGAUUUAAUUAUUGCUUCAUCAAUUCUGGGAUGAAAGAUAAUUUAAGAUAAAUUUGUUUAGUGAAAGAAGAGUUUCAUUUAAGAACUACUUACAAGAAUAUAUACAACAAACUGAGAGAAACAUUCAUAGCUCUUACACAGGAGAGAGAGAGAAACGAUUUCACCAACAGACAUUUUACAACUGACACAGAACCUUCACACACAGCAGGGAGGGGCUACUUCAGGAGCUACAGACAAACAAACUAUACAAAGCGUCAAGCUUUUUACUCUGCAAGCCCCCUGCACAAUCAAAUGAGACCACAGUGCUUUAUUCCUACACACUCUGCAAUGCAGACUCCCACAUCCCAUGUUUCUUUGCUUACUAGGCAUUUCUGCUAACAGAAACAAGGUUUACCGCCUGUCUCUCUUCUCACUGGACUUCACUGUGUGCUCUGCUACACACAUUCACAUGUGUGGAAAGGUGGCAUAUCCUUCACCAGGUGAGUGACGGAAUAUGCCCCAUAUUGAGGGUCACAGAGAUAUCUCUCCACCCUCACAGAGUGUGAGUGGGAAAGAAAAAUAAACGUAUACUCAGAGCUUUGGCUAAGCUUUGGAAAAGGAAUAAGAGUUCUUUAUUGUGGGAACUCUGUACAGGAUAGGAAAGUUGAGAAAUCUCUAUCUAGCUAUCUAGUCUAAGGAUGCCAGUGGAUGGCAGGAUGGCAUGUCUUGCAUCCAUGGUACGAAGGUGGAGAGUGUGACAAAGAGAGGAAAAUGAGGUGUCACAAAGUCUACACAUCAAAGGAUAGUGCCAGGGUAGUAAAGAGCAAAAGGGUAAACAGACCCCAGAUCUUUCUAUUUUUUAUUCUGAUUUGUCCCUCUGUGAAACCUGAGUAAGGGACAGCAUUCAGUUGUCUUCUCACAGUUUCAGCUUCCACCCCUCUUUGUUGCAGAGGCAGUCCUGUGUUGCUCAGCACUUUCCUUUGGUACUAGGUGCCUUUAAGUUCAUUGAAAGAUGCUGGUGGAUGGAGGAACACACUCCACAGUAGAAAAGGGUGUAAUGCAGAUGGAAGCAAGGUUUAGGAUCGAAGCCCAUGAUGUCAGCCCAACUGUUAUAGCUUCAACAGAAAGAUGUAAAGUCUUUGCAAAAUUUCCCAAGAUUGUUUAGAUGAAUGUUUUGUAGAUAUAAAACACUCUGAUCUUCCCUGCUAGAAUGGAUUCCACUUAGGGUUUCCCACAUCCAGGUGGAACAUCCCAGAAUUACAACUGAUAUCAAGACAACAGAGAUCAGAUCCACUGGAAGAAAGACAGCUUCAGAGGGAAGGUUGUAUUACAUUGCACCCCACCAAGAUCCCUCACCUUGCCAAAACUGGCCCUCCCUAGGCUCCACCCCCAAAUCUCCAGGAAUUUCCCUACCUGGAACUGGCAACCCAAAUUCUACUCUUUACUGUGAGUAUGCUUCAUAUCCUAGAAUCUUCAUAAAUCUUGAACGUUCAGUUCUUUUGCCUCAUUUUUUUGUUUAUGUAAUGUUGCCUGAAUUCCUGAAACAGAAUGGCUUACAAAUAAAAUUGCAAAAUAAAAUAGUUUGAAAUAGUCAGCCUUAUCUAUUUAUUGAGAAAAUCUCUAUGCCACCGCCUGAGGCUAGCAACAGACAAUAAAACCAAUGUUUAAAGGAAAAACUCCUUAGUUAAAAGACCUGAAUUAAAAGAAAUAUAGGGUAGGUGCCAGGCAAACCUCAAGGAGAAGUAUGAGGUUCCCAUGGAGUAAUGUGAUAAAUAAUUAUAACCCAAGACUGUCAUUAUACAUGCAUUGUAAAGGACAGUGAGGCUGCUAUAUUUCUGCCACUUGUCUGCCACUGCUACCGUUUCCUCCAAGUUUUGUAAGACACAAAGUAAAAUGUGGCGGAAAUUCCAUUUUGAGAUUUUUGCAUUAAGACAUAUUAUUUAGGCAGCUAUGAACCCACCUAAUCUUGUGUUCAGUUUUUGCUUCUCACUUCUCGAAAAGAUGCCAUUGGCUGCGGAGACCACCAAACCAGGGUCGAAUCCACAUUACUUAUUCUAAGUUGCAUGUUCCCCGCAUUCCCCACGCAAUCCCGAGUGCCGGUCACAUUACCUCAUUAAACAGACGCAUUUCAUUCGCAUUUCUCCCGAAUAUGUGGUCACAGGUUUUCAACGGGAGUUUCACGGUGGCCGUGAACGGGCCAAUGCGCAAUUUACGCGGUUUUUUUAAAAAACCACCCCCUUCCUGUCUCUCCGGCAGUUCCGAGAGUUCCUAUUGGCUGAUUCAACUUGCAAGUGCUCCUUAGUCUGCAAAAGACUGUUUUUGACUUCAUAGCAUUGGAUUUAUUGAUUAUGCUGUUUCUGAAUCAAAUCUGGUAGUUUGAAAAAUCAUUUUGGGGUGAAUCCAUCCUCAGAACGGACUCGCAAAACUUCCUUUUUAACUGUUUUUUAUUUUUUUUAUUUUAUAUUACUGUAAUAUCGAAAUUACGGUGAAUCAAUCAUUCGAAAUAAAGAAAACAGAGCAGGACCUCCAUCACUCCUCCAUGUUACCCCAAGUUAUAAUCAGUCCCCAAUGACAUUUUACAUUUCCUCGAAAACUGUCAGGGAUGAUGUUCUAUAACCUCACACAAGGAAAAUGGGGUGUGAGACAUGCAGGCACACUGUUGGGUCUCCGUCAAUGCAUCAGAGAGACAAGACAUCGUUAUCUAUAUAUCAUGAUAUCAAAAUAACGGAAAAGUAAUUUUAAAACAAUAAUUUUUUUUUUAAAGGUCGGGAAGAUUUGUUCCCGCCCGCAAAAGCAGAAAAUGCGGGUGUGGGGUGAAUGCGGAUUCGGCCAGUGACUAUUGGGAACAUAAUGACUCUCCAAGGAAGUGAAACUUCAGUAAAAUUCAGGCACUGAACUGUCCUGCAUAGGAAAUGCCCACGAAAGCUUCCCACAUGCUUCCAAAUUUCCAAAAAAGAAACGGGAGAGAGCCAUCAGUGCUGUCAGUGGGGGGAAGAGAGGCAUCAUUAUCUUCAAUGAUGUUUCUUUAUAAGGCAAGAUCGAAAUAACAGAAAAGUGUGCUAAAAAAAAAUUUAAAAAAUGGGCAGGGAAAAAAGGUCCCGCCCAAAAAAGCGGUUUUCGAGCAGCUGUGUGACCGGAGGGACACGCGAGAAAGAUGGAUUGGAAGCAGGAAUGUGAACGAAGAGGAAAAAAUCGCGGACUGGAGGCAAACGGAAGAUAUCCGAUAAACAUGCGAGUAAUGGGUAAUGUGGAUUCGACCCAGGCAGUGCAAUCCAGCCAACGUUGCUCAUUUAAAGGAUGCAUAUGAUUACACAAGCACAAGGAGAGGACAAAAAUAAGCAGUUCUGUGCUUUGCAAGUCGGUCACUUUAAUGAAUUGAGCAUAAGAUUCUCUGAUGGUGAAGAUUUAGUUCACUUAUUAAGGAAAGGCAACUGCAAAGGACAACAACCUGGCUGCGUAGCAAAAAUGGUUACUACGCAGGUGCAAAGUUGCUCAAAAUUAACAAUGAUUGUUGAUAUGAUCAGAUCAGGAGUUUGCCUUGUAGGUAAUCAAAGGGGUACGAGCAAAGUAAACUUAGCUGGUAAUUACGAUUGUGUCAAAGCAUGCCAAUUUACAACUUGAUCUGAUGUUAAUGAAGGAUGUCAAGCGAUCUGGAUAUAUGAAUAUACUGUGUAUCACUUUAGGUUUAGGAUAAGUUGUACUGAACUCUAUGAUUUCCUUACAAUUAUUAGAAUUUUCUUACAUGCAUUAGGAUUGUGACUGAUUUUUGCUAGGUUGUACUUAUUACUAACAGUAUGCCAUUAAAAAUAAUAUUUAUGCCUAUUUAUCUGAUGAAUGUGUGUUGAGAGCUAAGAAGAAUCCAUCACUUGGCUGUGCGUCCAUGAGUGAAAAUUACUUUUGACAAUACAGCUUCUCUGCCUUGCCCAGUAUCUCAUUCCCAUCAGUGACUAUUUCUUGUACCCCGAAGAACAAAUCUAGAAUGUAAUCUGAAUUCUCCCUCUGCUACUAUCAGGCAAUUACAAAGAUGCCCCAAUGUUUGCCCAUAACUUGUCAGUGUGCUUUGUGGACCGUCACAGUAUUGGUGUGAGCUGUGUGUAGAUUGCUACAUGAACAUGACAUGUUAUUUCUUGAACCAGAACAUCAGAAACCUGAAAACAAUACUACAAAAAAAUCUCCAUUCCUUUCAUUCUAUUGAUAUUGUUUUGAAAUAAUGGCCAUUGCAGAUCAGGCAAGACAAUUUGGGCCGGGACUUGUAUGCUGCCGAUCCCCUCACCCCUUCCUCGGUUCAGCUUUACCCAGGGUAACUUGAUAGCAGACAGCUGUUUUGCUACAUCACUCAGAGCGACAUCUUUCCUUUUGCGUUUUCAGCUAAACAUUCCAAACCUAAAGCCAGCCUUUGUCGAGAAUCCCAGAAACCACAGCACAUGUUUCAAAAUAACAAAAUCCUCUCCAGUCUAACUCCCUAGCUACUGUACUGUUAACUGCAUUACAGAACACAUUCUGCACACAAUUUCCUAUCUCCAGUCUGGGCUUUCUUUCCUCCCAAACACACAUGACUUUCUUGUGUCUCCCUCUUCUACUGUCUCUCCUUGGGCGGGGUGCGGAUGGUUCUCUUUUGCUGCUAUAUAAGACUCUUGGUUGGUUUGUGAAGAUCCUGUUUAUCUGCUCUGCAGAUGGAUGUUUCUGGAUGGCACUCAGAGGUUAGGUCCUCCUUUCUUUGUGCUUACUAAGUGAAGCAGAAAAACAGCACAUUUAAAUAUGCUAAAUGAAUAACUGCAGAGACAAGAUGGAUAUGAGUGACAAAUCCCAGCCAUGAGUUCUAAAAAGCGAAUGUAUCCAGACUCCUGACUCCGAGUCCUGACAGUAACUCAUUACCAACAACGUCUGUAAACAGUUUUAAUAGAGAAGCACUGUGGGUUAAUUAUAAGUAACAAGAGAGCCACAACUGUGAAAGGAGAACCAGUGUCAUAUCCUGUACAGAACAUUGGACUUGGGCCUGAAUUUAAAAACCUUCUGGAUAAUUUGGCUUCUAGGAUAUCUUAGCUCAAACUACAUUGUUUUGAGGGAAAUAGUUAAAAUAAGUUUUCAUCCUGCAAACAUUAAUAUCAGUUUCAUUAGAAUUUAUGGGGGAAAUAUCAGGCUUUAAUACUGUAUAUAGUCUCAUUUCUAUUCUGCAAAAUUGUUGCCUAACCGUCUGUUUUUCAUUGCAGCAUUCAGUUCAGUUUUAAGUGAAUUUAUUCCCCAAAUCACAUGCCCUCUGCCACAGUUUAAACAACUAUGUUAAUACUCUAGUAAAACAUGCAUUCAUAUUUUAUAAUCUGUACAAUAUUUUCCCAGGGGCCUUUCAUUAUAUUCUAAUAAAUUGACUGGUGAAAUUUAA